CUGAGUUAGUCGAGUAGCCCCCGAGUAGCCCACCCAUAACCAAGUACUUGACCUGUAGCUCCGGAGAGUCCAGCUUUGUCCCGGUGGUCCCAUGCUGCAGAGUGAGCGUCCGCCACCCCCAAUCUCCUUGGUGCUCCCAGGCAUAAAGUUGUACGUACUGGGGGGUAGAGGCCAACUGUUUUAUGACGUCAUAUGCCAGCUCCCGGCAUCAAUAGACAGCCCGCAAGGGUGCAGAUCAGAGAGAACACAGCUCCCUCGCCGCGUGUCACAGGAAUUCUGCCACCCGCCGCACUGAAGCCCCACUGGACCCCAGGUACAGGUCCACGCCAGCUCUCCAGGUAGAGAAGCCAGGUGGACAUUAAUUAUUAAUAAUUUGUGUGUAUAUGUGUAUGUCUGAUGUGUAUGUGUGUCUGUAAGUGUGUCUGUUAGUGUGUGUGCCUGUAAGUGUAUGUGUGUCUGAGUGUGUGUGUGUGUCUGUAAGUGUGUGUGUGUUUGUAAGUGUAUUAUGUGUCUCAGUGUGUGUAAGUGUAUGUGUGUGUCUGAAUGUGUAUGUGUGUGUCUGAGUGUGUGUAUAUGUUUGUGAGUGUGUGUGUCUGAAUGUUUAUGUGUGUCUGAGUGUGUGUAUGUGUUUGUGAGUGUGUCUGAACGUGUAUGUGUGUGUCUGAGUGUGUAUAUGUGUUUGUCUGUGAGUGUGAGUGUAUGUGUGGGUGUCUGUAUGUGUAUGUGUGUCUCAGUGUGUGUAUGUGUGUGUCUCAGUGUGUGUGUCUGUGUUUGUCUGUGAGUGUGUGUGUCUGAGUGUAUGUGUGUGUGUGUCUGUAAGUGUAUGUGUCUCAGUGUGUGUGUGUCUGUAAGUGUAUGUGUGUUUCUGUAUGUGAAACAUAGAAACAUAGAAACAUAGAAUGUGACGGCAGAUAAGAACCAUUCGGCCCAUCUAGUCUGCCCAAUUUUCUAAAUACUUUCAUUAGUCCCUAGUCUUAUCUUAUAGUUAGGAUAGCCUUAUGCCUAUCCCACGCAUGCUUAAACUCCUUUACUGUGUUA